AUUCUAGACCAAUGUGUAACAAACAAGGCUUACAAAUGAAAGGGACAUGUAUAGUGUAUACAUUAUACAUCAAUAACAUAAUACAUACUUGCGUAUAUAAUUUCAAUACACAAGCUAACAAGUAGUCAUGCAUAUAUAUGAGAAACACUCCAACGCAUAAGCUUACAAGCCUGUCAUGUAAAUACCCAUCUUGUGUCUCUUUUUUGUGAAACCUACUUUGUUGUUUUCUUUUGUAACUGGGAUAUAUUUUUCGUUAAAAAAAAACGCUGGGAUAUAUAUAUAUAUAUAUUGUAUUAUGGGGAAAUUUUACUUAUACACUUUGUUUGAUACCACAAUUCAAUUUUACCAUCAAUCAAAGGACAUUUUCACAAAUACCACUUUCAUUAAUGACCAAAAGACAAUACUACCAUUAUCUUAUCUUCUCCUCAAUCAUCGAUUCUUCUCUCUUCUCUCGGAGUCACCGAGAUCCGCCGUCUCUUUGUCUCACGCAGCGGCGACGAAAGAGAUUGCAGAGAAUCUCAAUUCCAAACCUCUAAAAUAUCGACUCAUUUACGAGAUUCAAUACCAAGUUAAACUUAACAGCUCAAAGAAGUGAUUAUCAAUCAAAACCGAAGCUUCCAUGAGCGAUAUGAUCCUCAUCGAAUCCAGAAACUUUGGUUCUUAAAGCUAUUGAAGGCUGUUACCACUGUUCCCCUUCCGCCAUAGCCAUCGAUGGAAGAAGACUAGAAGAGUAUUCAUUUUGUUACUAGAAGCUUUGAUUGAGAUCAGCCCCAAUCUCACAAACAAUUUUGAUGGAUAAUUCAAAAGUAAUUGCAGCUGUUUAUGGCCCAAGAGAGAUUCAAUACAAAAGCCAACAAAAGAAUGGUCAUAUAUUGAACCGGCUUGUUACGCUCAUCACAUAUGUCAAACCUGAAUAGCUACGAGAUGUUAUGUCAGGAGGAUGGUUCUUUGUGCUUCAAAUGAAGACCACUUAGUGGUGGAACCAUUGCCACCACCUGCUGGAGCUAAACCAGGAGAGCGUGUUUCAUUUUCAGGGUAUAUAAUAUAGUGUAAAUUGGCUUAACACCAAACCUCUUUUGAUUGCUUUGGGUACAUACUUUGUAACAUCACUUACUUAAGAACCCUUAUGUCUUAAUAUUUAUAUAGAGUCGAAGGAAAGCCAGAAGAACCCUUAC